GUCUCUAAUGAUGAUCUUAGUUAAAUAACUUUCGUUCUUCUGAUAAAAAAAAUUGUGAGGAAUGUUAUGGAGACCUGAACUGAAGGGAC